GUUAUACUGUGCAAAGGAUUCUGGAUCUGAAACCUGACAAACUGGUAACCAGGAGAGCAGACCAAGUUGAGGGGUUUGACAGACUGAUAUCUACCAGAGCCAUAUGUUGGACAGGGGGCGCAACAUGACCUCUGAUAUAGGGCCUUCCAAGGGUCUUCACAAAGGAAAUGUCAAUUCAAGAAAUCCAUAAACAGAGUUCUAUUUACACUAGCCUCUGAGACAACAUCUUGAGGAUACACCAUACUACACAUGUUUAUUUAAGCAAUUUACAUAGCUUAAUUUACAUGUAUUCAGACUCUUAUUUUUUCUAUGUUUUAUUGUUUGAGAAUGGUGUAUAUUGCAUUUCUUAUUUACUAGAGGAUUAUUAUUUCAUUUGUGAUGAGUCUAGCUUUGAAUUUUCAACCAAAUACAAUUAAAAAUGAACAAAAACAUUUUAUAUAUUUAAGUGAGAACUUUUCUGGAUUAAAUAAAAUUAUCUUAAAUGUGCUGGAAACGAAUUUUUAAAAAACAUGUUUUGCAUAUAAUACUCUGUUAAAUCAGUUUAACCGUAGUUAGUGAGUUGAACCAAUUAUUUCUGGUUUCCAUCUCCUUCAAGAGUUUAGAUCUAGUAUAUAUUUCAUUCCCUCACACCUAGUAUUUAUACACAUAUUGGAAGAGAAAAAGUAGCUUCCUUGCUUUCUCAACUCUCAAUUAGUUGCUUAACUUUGAAUGAACCAGUCAUUUAACUAAAUUGAACAAACAGAAGUGAAGAAAAUAUUCUCUAUACCUGCAGAAGAGGUGCUGUCAAAAGCUGGUUUAGCAUUCAACAAAUUCCAAUUCUAGAUGCUCUGCCAGUAAGUUCCAUCAAGAAAUGAUUAAACUUUCUUUAAAAGAUGGUAGCAAAUACGUAUUUUUUUUUAUUUAUAUGACUGUACUAGAUUAUAAAUUUAGGCCUUAACAGGUUGUCAAUUUCAAAUUUAAUUUUAAACAGAUUUAAAAAAUUAAAUUAAAAUCAUUGAUUUUUUUCAGCCCCAAUAAUCUUGUUUCCACAACAUUUUAUAAUACUAAGUAUUCUAUCCUUACACAUAUCAGUAACAUUUCCAGUGUUUGCUGUUCAUUGAGAUAGCUGAAUGAGUGACAAAUCAAUACAUACAGUUUUGUCCUUAAAAAUUCUUAACAUGGCUUGUAAACAUGAAGAAAUCGACAAUAAACUUUAGUCUUAAUAAUACCCUUGCAUAGUUUUAUUGUGAUUUUUUUUCCAUUCUAAUUUCAUUAUCCCAGCCAUUUAUUAUGCAACUUUUCAUUUUAAGACAAACUAACUUGCACAUUUUCCUGUUCUUUGCUGUUUGCGUUGGUUGCAAACUUUCAGUGUGUUCAGCCAAGAACAGCUUCACAGCAUUAUAAAUUAUUUGUAUAACAUUCAUUCAAUUUAACAGGAAACAAUAGUGUUAUUUCCCAUAAAACCUAAUGAACCUUACUU